GACGAACGCUGGCGGCGUGCCUAAUACAUGCAAGUCGAACGCAGUGGGGACGGGUGAGUAACACGUGGGUAACCUCCCAUCAGAGGGGAUAACACUUGGAAACAGGUGCUAAACCGAUACUGAUGGAUGGACCCGCGGUGCAUUAGCUAGUUGGUGAGGUAAAGGCUCACCAAGGCCACGAUGCAUAGCCGACCUGAGAGGGUGAUCAGCCACACUGGGACUGAGACACGGCCCAGACUCCUACGGGAGGCAGCAGUGGGGAAUCUUCGACAAUGGGCGAAAGUCUGACAGAGCCACGCCGCGUGAAUGAAGAAGGCUUUCGGAUCGUAAAGCACUGUUGUUGGGGAAGCGUUAUCUGACCAAGAAGCCACGGCUAACUACGUGCCAGCAGCCGCGGUAAUUC
rnacentral:rRNA from 1 species